GAUGGGUGAAUUUCUAGUGUCAAG
rnacentral:miRNA from 12 species